rnacentral:misc_RNA from 1 species
GCAAACUUGGUCAUUUAGAGGAAGUAAAAGUCGUAACAAGGUUUCCGUAGGUGAACCUGCGGAAGGAUCAUUGCAAAUCAGAGAGAGGGCGAGGAAGAGCCAGUUUUGGUUCUGAUCUCGUUCGUCUCACAUAUGCACAGCGAUUGGUCUCUGAUCGGUCGCUGAUGUUUACGCUUGUUUGUUUGACAAAUCGCGUAUUAUAAUAAUCAAAACUUUUAACAACGGAUCUCUUGGCUCUUGCAUCGAUGAAGAACGCAGC